rnacentral:tRNA from 1 species
UCCCUAAUGUCUCAGUGGGUAAAGAAUCUGCCUGCAAUGCAGGAGACAAAGGAGACCUGGGUUCAAUCCCUGGGUUGGGAA